UACGUAGGGCGCAAGCGUUGUCCGGAAUUAUUGGGCGUAAAGGGCUCGUAGGCGGUUUGUCGCGUCGGGAGUGAAAACCAUGGGCUUAACUCAUGGCUUGCUUUCGAUACGGGCAGACUUGAGGUAUGCAGGGGAGAACGGAAUUCCUGGUGUAGCGGUGAAAUGCGCAGAUAUCAGGAGGAACACCGGUGGCGAAGGCGGUUCUCUGGGCAUGAUCUGACGCUGAGGAGCGAAAGUGUGGGGAGCGAACAGG
rnacentral:rRNA from 1 species